rnacentral:rRNA from 1 species
GACGAACGCUGGCGGCGUGCUUAACACAUGCAAGUCGAACGAUGAAGGCUGGAGCUUGCUCCGGCCGGAUUAGUGGCGAACGGGUGAGUAACACGUGAGUAACCUGCCCUUCACUCUGGGAUAACUACCGGAAACGGUGGCUAAUACCGGAUACGACCUUCGGAGGCAUCUCCUGAAGGUGGAAAGAACUUUGGUGAAGGAUGGACUCGCGGCCUAUCAGGUAGUUGGUGAGGUAACGGCUCACCAAGCCGACGACGGGUAGCCGGCCUGAGAGGGUGACCGGCCGACACUGGGACUGAGACACGGCCCAGACUCCUACGGGAGGCAGCAGUGGGGAAUAUUGCACAAUGGGCGCAAGCCUGAUGCAGCAACGCCGCGUGAGGGACGAAUGCCUUCGGGUUGUAAACCUCUUUCAGCAGGGACGAAGCGAAAGUGACUGUACCUGCAAAAGAGCACCGGCUAACUACGUGCCAGCAGCCGGGUAAAACCGUAGCGUG